CCUACGGGUGGCUGCAGUGAGGAAUAUUGGUCAAUGGGCGCGAGCCUGACCCAGCCAAGUAGCGUGAAGGAUGACUGCCCUACGGGUUGUAAACUUCUUUUAUAAAGGAAUAAAGUGAGGCACGCGUGCCUUUUUGUAUGUACUUUAUGAAUAAGGACCGGCUAACUCCGUGCCAGCAGCCGCGGUUAUACGGAGGAUCCGAGCGUUAUCCGGAUUUAUUGGGUUGAAAUGGAGCGUAGAUGGGUUGUUAAGUCAGUUGUGAAAGUUUGCGGCUCAACCGGAAAAUUGCAAUUGAUACUGGCAGCCUUGAGUACAGUUGAGGUAGGCGGAAUUCGUGGCGUAGCGGUGAAAUGCUUAGAUAUCACGAAGAACACCGAUUGCGAAGGCAGCUUACUAAGCUGCCACUGACAUUGAUGAUCGAAAGUGUGGGUAUCAAACAGGAGUAGAUACCCUAGUAGUC
rnacentral:rRNA from 1 species